ensembl:lncRNA
AUGCGAAUGUCUGUGAUUGCCGGUGAUAUUUUAUUUCACAACGCGUUUCCUUGUGUAUUUUUUGCAAGAUCGCGUAAACUGUUAAUACCGGCCAUUGUAAUAUCAGCAUCAGUUGCAGAUGCUGUAUUUUCUACUGAACCGAAAUUGGUGGAAACUGGUGGAAAAUGUGUUAUCAUACCCCUCACUAAACUGAAGAAGGCUGAAGUGAUUCGUUUGGAAGGAGAAAAACCACAUGUGUUUGUGUGUUACUACACCCGUGGGAAAAGAUGUUGGCGCUUAAAAGAAGAUGAAUUUUCACUGGAAUUUACAGGAGGAGACGUUUCCUUAAUUCUUAAAGAAAUCCGCUCCAAAAUCGUUAAAGUAAAAGUCUUUACCAGAAGAUAUGUUAUUUGGAAAUAUGUUGUCAAAAGUGAGUAUAUUUUCAGAAUGUUUACCCUAUUGUUCAGGAAUCAUGAGAAAAAUAGUGUAAAUGGCCAUGAUUGUGUUCAAAAAGUCAUCAUUAGUAAGAAAAAGUUAUGGUGUAAUUCCUACUUGAGUAGAAAGAUUUGUAACAUUGCAAAUCAUUUUGUUAGGCUUUUUUCAUAAGAAAUCAAAUUCAUAAUUUAAUUACACAGUACUUUAUCCUCUUCAUCCCAUGAGAGACAUAAGGGUGCAACCUACUUUCUCCACCUGAGUCUUUCCUGAGCUUUUAAAUGUUGUUCCUCCCAUGAAUGUUGUAUUUUACAGAACCAGAACUGGACCCCCCCACCUCCGGGGGAACUGAUCACGGUGGCCACGGGUACCUGGGGGUAAGGACAGACAGACAAGGCAACAUUUAUAAUCUAGGCCUAAUUCAUUAAUAUGAAAACUUUUUAACAUUGUUAAUGCUACAUACUGAAUGACUGACACAUCUUUGUCAUGGAAAAAGUUUGUGGGUUUUGCAUCGAGUUCACCGUUUUAAUGUAUAUGUUUGUUUUAAAGGAGUAGUUCACUUCCAGAACAAAAAUGUUCAGAUAAUGUAAUCACCCCCUUGUCAUCCAAGAUGUUCAUGUCUUUCUUUCUUCAGUUGCAAAGAAAUUGUUUUUUGAGAAAAACAUUUCAAGAAUUAUCUCCAUAUAAUGGACUUCUGUGGUGCCCAUGAGUUUGAACUUCCAAAAUGCAGUUUCAUUGCAGCUUCAAAUGGCUCGAAACGAUCCCAGCCGAGGAAAAUUUUUUAAAACGUGAUUUGAUUUGCACGACAUCUUGUAAUUGUGUGUUUUUGUGUUGACUGUCAGAAAUGUAGGGCAAUAGCCUGAUGAACCCCUGCUGUCUCCAGGUAUAAAGCUCUUCACUGAUUUGUGAAUUUGCUGCAUCACGUGAGUUUAUCAUAAAGAAUAUGUUGUUUUUAAUUGCAGAUGUGGUGCACAAACAGAAACUGCUGCUGAGAAAACAAUGAAGAUCUGCUGGGUACUUGACUUGCUACUAAGUGUCAUAAAAUGUUAAGUACUGUAUUACUCCUAACACUUUAUUUAGAUUUGUUUACACUCUUGGUCCAAAUCUGACUUUGUCUAUAUCCAGUUGAAAUCAAAUAAUACUACGUAAACUACAUUCCUAUAUUAUUUGAAAUACCAUUUCUAAAAAUCCUUCUCAGUAUUAUGCAGGGUUGGGUGAUAAUGAUACGGAUAAUUGUCGUGAAAUAAUUUUACUUGACAAUGAUAACAAGAGUUUGCUAGAUGCUCGAUAUAAUGUUUACUGUAAGUGCCAAAAGUAAUUUAUCUGGUGUGUUUACGAGUCUCAGUCUCGUGAGCACUAAACAGCGCUGUGAGAUUAGGCAAACCUAUCCAACCUUUGCCUCCGAUACCACUGAUGUUUUCUUCCCCCCAUUUAAAUAUUUUUAGCAUUUAUUUAUCAGUAUGUGUGGAACAGAUAAUCAUUCUUUCACAAUCUACUAAAUACAGACUUCUUCAUUAUAAGACAAAAAAAAUACAAUAUGAAAAAAUAUAGCACUUGCACCAAAGGUUAAUAAACACAAAUCAGUCAGAAUAAAUACAUUUGACCGUAUAAAAUGAGUUUGUUACAAUUUUUACGGAUGUAACUAUUUUUGAUAAUCAAAGCAAGGCGAUUUCAAACACAGUGUUAAUUCAAAUUGCUUUACAUGAAAGGAAGCAACAUAAUAAUAACAAUGAAUAUCAACAUAAAAUGGACAGAAAUGAACAUCUGCAUCUUAACUUGAGCUACUACUGCUAAGAGUCUCCAAGAGACACACAAAAAUACGAAUAGAUAAUAUUAAUAAUUAAUACGAGUCAUUGGUCAUUUAGUUCUGAUCAUAAAACCACUAAAGCCACUCGAGUCACACAGUUCAAAACCACUAAAACAUUCUAGAAAACUUUCAUCUAGGAGCAAAAAUCUGCCUUUAAACUUGAAAGAAGUAAAGAUUUCAUAUUUAUUGUGAUAAUUAUCGAUAUCGAUUGAUAUGAAGACGUUUGUGAUUAAUUUUGAUCAUAUCGCCCAGCCCUAGUCUGAUAACUCAAUACCUUUUUUGCACUUUUUAUGUCAGAUCCACCAGUCACUAGUGGAAAUAAAUGAAAUGAAGGCUUUCUACUGUACCUUUCUGCCACUGCUAAUAAGAUAUAGUAAUCCACUGCUGUGUUAUUGUCAUUUUGAACGAUGAUGUAUUACAAACACUUCCAUGGUGCAAUAGAUUUUUUUUCGUGCAAUAAUCAGAUUUGGACUGAGAGUGAGAAUGUACUGUAGUCUUUAGACGCCAGUGAACUUUCCAAACUUUCCGUUAUUCAUUCUUCAUCUCAAACUUAUCUCUAUUCAUAAUCCGAUUGUAUUUUAAACGCACUUUUGUUUCUUGUCAGAGUGCAGAAACUUGAACACUUGUUAUGAUGUUAGGCAGAUUGUAGCUUUAGAUUUUAACAAGUGCUUUCUGCUUAUUGUGCAACGUAAUUCACUACCCUAUAUAAAGAUAUCUAUAUAAAAGUAUAUUCAUUCUUUAAUUAAGUGACAUUUUUGCAGAAUUAAUAUAUAAUUUCUUCAAUGCCUUGUUAUAUUUUAAUCAAAUAAAUAUUUUGCACCACAUAUUUAUCCCAACACUUUGACUGUCUGACUGUUUUUUUGUUUAGAGCGACACAGCUGGGUUUGGGGUUGUAGGUCUGUCAUCUAAAGUCUUUAUUUUUUAAGAACCAUGCAGAUAAACUGAUAACCAGCUGCUAGGUUUGCUGUGGCAGUUUUAGAUCACAGAAACAAGGUCAGCAUGGGGAAAUUUUGUUACAGGGCACACAUCAACAUUCAUCUUAAAUCAUUUUCACUCAACCCCUUUUGAUUUGAUGAGACAAUGAAGAAACUGGACUUAUUCUGCAGGUCCAAGCGUAAUGUUGGUAUCACGUUGGCUGACCUGCUGCUCUUUACAAUCUUAUGGGAAAAACAAUGACCGCCGUUCUGAAUGGUUUGUUGUGUGUUAUGUUGUGUAGUGGGUUUGUUGUUUUAUAAUAAGAGUUGGAUGAUAGAGUUACAUUUUCCUUGUUUAACAGAAUUCAGAUUUUUGGGAUGAAAAUAAAUAAAUAAAAAACCAGUUUUCUCCUGCUGGAGCCUGGUACCAUCUGCCACACUCAAGCUGGAUUGCGUUUAAUUUUAAUUGUAAUUAUUACGCAUUAAUAACAUGACUUGAAUCUGUAAACAUCACAUUAUUAUAAAUGCAAUUUUAAAGUCCUUUUCUAAAGCACUCGUUUGAUCAAUCUUGCAUGAAGUUUAUUUACAAAAUCUUUUUUUUAAAACUAUGCAACCACAGCUAAACGGCAGUUCGUUUUCCAAAUCUCUUGUCAAGACUUGUGGUCAUUGUGCAGCAUGUCUUUCCAUAUCUUAAUCCAUCGAUUUCUCUGUAGCCCAGCAUGAUUAAAGCUUACUAAAGUGUAGCAUACUUGUAGGGAGAGUUCCCUCCAGUCCAAAAUGAAAAUCAUUUCCUCCCUCUCAUGUUGUCCAUAGGGAAAAAAUGUGUUGUUUUUGGAUUGAAAGCAUGCCUCAAACUCCUGGAGACUGUGAUUGGUUCUUUUCCUCACCUGAUGUGAGGACCGCCCUCCUCUGUCAGUCUUUCUUUUUUUUUUCUUUUUUUUAUAUAUAUUUUUAUUGAAGGAAGAACAAAGUGAUGUAUCACAUACAGAAAAGGGUUAACAAUGUUCCCUAUUUUUAAAAUGUUUUACUUUCCCACAACCCACCCACUGAACAUAGAAAAUAAAUAAAUAAUAAUAAAAUAUAUAAAUGUAUAAAAAUAAAAUAAAAUAAACAAAUAAAAUCAAAAAUAGAAAAAGUAUUUCGAAGUUCUUAUAUUACAAACAGUGAGAAAAUAGUUGACAUCAGUUAGCCCAUUGUGUUGGAUUGCGUUAUCCGUUUCAAUUUGCACAGGCCUUUUAAUAACAGUAUUAGUUUUAGUUUGGGGGAAGAGUUACGUCCUUUUCAAAAUAUGAAAUCAUUGGAGUCCAUACUGAAUAAAAACGUUUAGUGGAUCCUCUAAGAGAAUAUUUAAUUUUCUCCAAUUUCAAAAACAGCAUCACAUCACUAAGCCAAAGUGAAACUAAAGGUGGUUUAUUUGAUUUCCAAUCAAGUAAUAUUCUUCUCCGAGCCAAAAGACAUGCAAAAGCACAUGCGUCUUGACAAUUUUUGGACAUAACCACACCUUGUACAAGUACUCCAAAGACAGCCAUCUCAAAACUAGGCCUGAUCUCUGUCAGUCUUUCUUGCUUUAUUC